rnacentral:rRNA from 1 species
UACGUAGGUGGCAAGCGUUGUCCGGAAUUAUUGGGCGUAAAGCGCGCGCAGGCGGUCCUUUAAGUCUGAUGUGAAAGCCCACGGCUUAACCGUGGAGGGUCAUUGGAAACUGGAGGACUUGAGUGCAGAAGAGGAAAGUGGAAUUCCAAGUGUAGCGGUGAAAUGCGUAGAGAUUUGGAGGAACACCAGUGGCGAAGGCGACUUUCUGGUCUGUAACUGACGCUGAGGCGCGAAAGCGUGGGGAGCAAACAGG